AAUUUUGUGUCGUGGAAGAGUAAGAAACAGAAUGUGGUUGCUCGAUCUAGUGCGGAAUCAGAAUAUUGAGCAAUGGCAACAGCAACUUAAGAGCUAGUUUGGAUCAAACAAUUACUGGGAGACCUAAAAUUUGACAGAACUGAUCAGAUGGAACUCGUAUGUGAUAAUCAAGCGGCUCUUCAUAUCGCAUCAAAUCCAGUGUUUUAU
rnacentral:misc_RNA from 1 species